AAAACAAACAAGAUGAAUUAUAACAGGGAGAAAUGUAAAGUAUUGCACUUGGGCAAAAAAAAUGAGAGGCACAAAUACAAGAUGGGUGACACCUGGCUUGAGAGCAGUACAUGUGAAAAGGAUCUAGGAGUCUUGGUUGACCACAAACUUGACAUGAGCCAACAGUGUGACGCGGCAGCUAAAAAAGCCAAUGCAAUUCUGGGCUGCAUCAAUAGGAGUAUAGCAUCUAGAUCAAGGGAAGUAAUAGUGCCACUGUAUUCUGCUCUGGUCAAACCUCACCUGGAGUACUGUGUCCAGUUCUGGGCACCACAGUUCAAGAAGGACACUGACAAACUGGAACGUGUCCAGAGGAGGGCAACCAAAAUGGUCAAAGGCCUGGAAACGAUGCCUUAUGAGGAACGGCUAAGGGAGCUGGGCAUGUUUAGCCUGGAGAAGAGGAGGUUAAGGGGUGAUAUGAUAGCCAUGUUCAAAUAUAUAAAAGGAUGUCACAUAGAGGAGGGAGAAAGGUUGUUUUCUGCUGCUCCAGAGAAGCGGACACGGAGCAAUGGAUCCAAACUACAAGAAAGAAGAUUCCACCUAAACAUUAGGAAGAACUUCCUGACAGUAAGAGCUGUUCGACAGUGGAAUUUGCUGCCAAGGAGUGUGGUGGAGUCUCCUUCUUUGGAGGUCUUUAAGCAGAGGCUUGACAACCAUAUGUCAGGAGUGCUCUGAUGGUGUUUCCUGCUUGGCAGGGGGUUGGACUCGAUGGCCCUUGUGGUCUCUUCCAACUCUAUGAUUCUA